ACGCUCGACACCUACGGGAGGCAGCAGUCGGGAAUAUUGCGCAAUGGAGGAAACUCUGACGCAGUGACGCCGCGUAUAGGAAGAAGGUUUUCGGAUUGUAAACUAUUGUCGUUAGGGAAGAGAAAGGACAGUACCUAAGGAGGAAGCUCCGGCUAACUACGUGUCAGCAGCCGCGGUAAUCUGAGCGGGCUGGCAAGGC
rnacentral:rRNA from 1 species